ensembl:snRNA U6 U6 spliceosomal RNA
GUGCUCACUUUGGCAGCACCUGUACUAAAAUUGGAAUGAUGCAGAGAUUAGCAAGGUUCCUGCACAAGAUGACAUGUAAAUCCACGAAGCAUUCCAUAUUUAA